rnacentral:rRNA from 1 species
UACGUAGGGGGCUAGCGUUGUCCGGAAUCAUUGGGCGUAAAGCGCGUGUAGGCGGUCCGGUAAGUCCGCUGUGAAAGUCGGGGGCUCAACCCUCGAAUGCCGGUGGAUACUGUCGGGCUAGAGUGCGGAAGAGGCGAGUGGAAUCCUGGUGUAGCGGUGAAAUGCGCAGAUAUCAGGAGGAACACCAAUUGCGAAGGCAGCUCGCUGGGACGUUACUGACGCUGAGACGCGAAAGCGUGGGGAGCAAACAGG